GGGCGGAAGUUCCUCGUUCCCCUCAAGGGAGGUCCGCCAUGACAGUUACCGAGGCGGCGCCUCGGCCGUUGCGGAAGGCGGUUGUGGCGGGCGGCUGGGCUGCAGGCGGCGGGAAGGCUGUGGCAGAGCAGGGGAGGUGAGGGUGCGCACCCUCUGAGGAAAACCUGUCCCCUCUACGCCAUUUUUGACCUAUUAUAAUAUUUUUUCCAGCAUGCUGAGAUGUGUAGCAACCUGAGAGAGUGUGAGGGUGGGCGCUGGAGAAAGGGCUAGAGUCCCUGUCUGUGGAGGCUGGGUUUUGUUGUGCCACAGCACAUCCUGCGCUGGUGGCAGGGCCUAGGCAGGGGUGACUAAAAGCCCCUUUGGUGUCAAUGCUGCUGGUUCUUUGUGGAGGAGUCUUGCAGCUCACACAUUGACUUUGCUGAUAUCUGCUGGGCAAGUCCUGCUAGUGCUGGCCUCUCCUUAGGAAAGGCAGAGGGGUGCAGCUUGGCUUCUCAGAGAAUCACAGGAUGCUUGAGGUGGGAGGAGGCCUCUUGAGAGGGGAUCCAGCCCCCUGAGCAAGCAGGAUCAGCCAGAGCAGGUUGCCCAGGACCAUGUCUGUUUUGUUCUGAAUAUUUCAAAGUAUGGAGACUCUAGAACCUCUCUGGGCAACCCACAUCAGUGUGUGACCACACCCACAGUAAAAAGAAAGUGGUUUGCUAUGUUCACAUAGAGUUUCAUGUGUUUCAAUCUGUGUCUGUUGCAUCCUGUUGUGUCACCGGGUACCACUGAGAAGAGCCUGGCUCCCUUGACUUCCCUCCCAUCAGGUAUUUAUAUACAUUGAUGAGACCACUCUAAGCCUUUCCCAGUCACAGCUCUUCUAGCCAUUCCUUGUAGGAGAGAUGCUCCUAUCCCUUCAUCUUCUUUGUGGCCUUUGUUGGACUCUUUUUGGUCUGUCCACAUCUCUCCUGCACUGGGAAGCCCAGAACAGGACACAACAAACCAGGUGCUGAGCAAACUCACCUCGCUCGACCAGCUGGCAAUGCGUCUCUCAAUGCAGCCUAGGAUGCUGUUGGUGCAUGGCUUGCUUGUUGUCCACCAACAUCCCCAAGUCCUUCUCUGCUUGCCAGCCAGCCCACCCCUGCUGCCCUUUGCUGAACUUCAUGAGAUAUCUGUCAGCCCACUUCUCCAGCCUAUUUGAGUGACUAUGACUAGCUAGGUGACUAACUCUGUGUGUCUAGUCUUAUUUGUAUGGGGAUUUUUAUGGAUGACACUGGAUAUGUUGUUCCUGUUCACAUUUGCAGUACAAUGUGUUCUGGUUACCUGAAAUUUGGAAUCUGGCACAGCUGGUGAAAGCUGAUGAUACUGUAUGUUUAUACAAGGUCUUGCAACUUUUAGAAUUCACCUUGCAAAUGCUGGAAAGUCUGUGUGAGCUGAGACAGAAAUAUUGCUGUAGUUUCUUUCUAGAUGAAAACAUGACAUGUAAAUACAUCAAGACCUGAUUUUACAAAUCAGAGGCAGAUUCCUUGGAGGUGGCAGGAGAGGGAAAUAUUAUGGAAAUUGAAGUCUUGUCUUUUUUCCCUUAAUCUGCUUGAUACGCUGUGUGCUUUGUGUCAACUCAUUAGAGAGAUUCUGUACAAACUAACUUUCUCAUAAUUAAUAUCCCAUCUGCCUUAAGAGGUGCCAAUGACUUUUUCAUUCCUCGUUGUUGGGACAUGGCUAAUAGAGAAGGGGCAUGGCUCUAUUGAUCCGUUGUAUCAGGAGAAUUUUGUUCUAAGUUAGCAUGAGUAGGCCUCAGUUAGCAUGAGUCUGGUGCAGUAUAAGUGGAAAAGUACUGAGCGGUCGCUCUCUGGUUAGCUGAGCGUCUAAGAUAAACAAGCUGGGGAAUUAUCUCUAGCAGGGUGAGAAGGUUGCAUUCCAGAGAAACCACAAGAAGGUUGAGCUCAUUAUGUAUACUAUCCAAUUAAUAGAAGACGAGUAGGCAUAAUUAUUGUAUACUAUCCAAUUAAUAGAAGACGAGUAGGCAUAAUUAUUGUAUGCUAUCCAAUUAAUAGAUGACAAGUAGGCAUAAUUACUGUAAGUCUUAUAUAAACCAGCUUAGUGUCUCAAUAAAGCGAGGUAUGCUUAUCACUCAUAUUGGGUCGACCGCAUUCCUUCCUCCGUCCGCUCGGGUUUGGAACUCUGAUGGAAUUUUUCUCUCGGCAAUUGGCGCCCGAACCGGCGAUCCGAAGCGGCGGAUAGAAGCAAAAGGCGCCGGGAGAGCAGCGACCGGCGGGCAAGAGCGACCGAACACUGUGCUGCGGUGUGUCGUCUCCGAAGCCUGAACCGACUGAAGUUCGCCAGUGCUGGGCUACAGGAAACAAGGGCUGCAAGAGGUCUCUUAAUUUAGCAAGAGCUGAACUUCAUAUCUACUGACUGUGCUUUCCUGCAGUUUUCAGAAGACCAGAGUUAUCAGUAAGAGAAAGAAGACUACAGGCCUAUCUUUGUUUACUUUGUAGUCCCUGCACGGUACUGGAAUGGGAAGUGUGGAGUCAGUCAGUGCAAAUGAGAAUCAAGCUGCACGUUUGAAAAGCAGUGAGCAACUGAAGAAAUAGUUUUGAAGAGGAGACCUUAUUAUUAGCCUUUCUAACAUCAUCGUCAAAGAGGAAAAUCUCCAGUUUACUUGACAUUUCUUAUGUGACUGUGGGAAAACAGAACAGCAUUUUGCACCACAUUGCCAUCUGUGGGAAAGCGCCUGAAAUUCACUGCUCAUACUUUUUUAUCCAUGCUGUAUGAAAAUGACUCCAAAUUUAGAGUUGUAUUAAAUGUGGCAUCAUGUGCUGCUAGGAACAAAGUAGGUCAAAACAACCAUGUCAGUAUUGCACAUGCAGCUUUACAGCCUUCCUAGUGGAGCAUAAGCAACAUGAACAAGAGGCUUUAAGAUCAUCCACUGCUAAACUGCAGUGUGGAGACAAGUCCUAGACCUGUGUUGGCAGAUCUAGAGAGAGCCCAGGGGCCAUGCUUGGCCCAAGGCGGGUAGAGCUGGUGAGCCCUGGGAAAAGUUUUGUUUGGUGCUCUAGUGGCAGUGUAGGGUCUUCUCAUAACCUUUCAGUCCAGGGCUAUGACCAGGAGACACAAGACUGUCUUUUCUUAGCCAGAGGGGUAAGUUUUGAAUGUUAAUAUAAUUACUAUCUGUGAUAAUUACCUGAAAAGUAGCUGGAGAAAAAUAUUUUUUAACUGAAAGAGGGUAGGUUUAGAUUGGAUAUUAGGAAAAAAAUUCUGAUUUAUAGGGGCAGUGAGGCACUGGAACAGGUUGACCAGAGAAGCUACGGAUGCUCCAUCCCUGGAAACACUCAAGGCCAGGCUGGAUGGUGCUUUGAACAAUCUGGUCUAGCGGAAGAUGUCCCUGCCCAUAGCAGGGAGGUUGGAACUAGGUAAAGUUUAGAGGUCCUUUCUAACCCAAGCCGUUCUAUGGUUCUAUGAUGCUAUGCUUUCUGGAAACUGAUUCUAGUCUGAUAUCUCCAGCUUAAGCAUUACUAAAUAAGAAACCAUAUGGGUUACUUGCAAAAUACAGGUGUGCAAUUUCUCUGUAUCAAUGAUUUAAUUAGAUUUGUGUUGAAAUUUUCAGUAAUGACUCUAUGUUAGUGUUUAAAGACAUGUUCUGUAGCCCUGGUGUAUACUUUAUGUUCCUCUCAAGCAAAAAGAUUCAUGUUUUCUGAAUCCUUUGCAGUAAGAAUGAUGAUAAACAUUUUUAGCUAGUGCUUUUCAUCUUUAGAUCUGAAAGUGCCUUAUAAAUGCACAUAUCACUUACCAAAAAGGUCUUUAUGUGAUCAAACAAAGUAAAAUUCACAUAAAGCAACAAUGAGCCAUAAACAUUUUCUAAAGUGACUUGCAGUGCAUUGUCUAAGCGCUGUUUUAGUAGGGAGAGGUAGAUGUGGAAAAAAUUCUUAUGUUUGCCUAAGUUCAUGAUGACUUUUACUCAACAAAAUGAUUAUUUUCAGCAUCUGCAUUAAUGGAAUCGCUGGGGAGUUCAUGUUUAUGUGUGAUUUUUAUCUGGUAUCUAAGCUAGAGGUCAAAACACAAAAUUUGCAUUUAAAAAAAUGGUGCAGAUUUGUCAUGCUCCCCGAAGGCCUUGUUCCAUGAGCGGGGAGGUGGAUUACAAUCAGAUAUGAAUAUUUUCAUGUUUGAAGUAUAAGAUCUUGUUUUACUUUAGUUCCUAUGUAACUGGUUCGUUCCAAUCAAGAUUUUAACAUUUCAGGAAAUAAAAAUUAAAAGUCAUUUAGUAUUA